rnacentral:rRNA from 1 species
UACGGAGGGUGCGAGCGUUAAUCGGAAUUACUGGGCGUAAAGCGCACGUAGGCGGUUGUGUGAGUCUGCUGUGAAAGCCCCGGGCUCAACCUGGGAAUAGCAGUGGGGACUGCACGACUCGAGUGCGAGAGAGGGUGGCGGAAUUCCGGGUGUAGCGGUGAAAUGCGUAGAGAUCCGGAGGAACACCGAUGGCGAAGGCAGCCACCUGGCUCGACACUGACGCUGAGGAGCGAAAGCGUGGGGAGCAAACAGG